rnacentral:rRNA from 1 species
AGUUGACCUCGGAUCAGGUAGGGAUACCCGCUGAACUUAAGCAUAUCAAUAAGCGGAGGAAAAGAAACCAACAGGGAUUGCCUCAGUAACGGCGAGUGAAGCGGCACGAGCUCAAAUUUGAAAUCUGGUCCCGGUGGGGCUCGAGUUGUAAUUUGCAGAGGUAGCUUUGGCUGUGGCGACAAUCUAAUUCGCUUGGAACAGCGGGUCAUAGAGGGUGAGAGCCCCGUCUGAGAUUGUCGACCGCGGUCGCGUAAAGCUCCUUCGACGAGUCGAGUUGUUUGGGAAUGCAGCUCUAAAUGGGUGGUAAAUUUCAUCUAAAGCUAAAUAUUGGCCAGAGACCGAUAGCGCACAAGUAGAGUGAUCGAAAGAUGAAAAGCACUUUGAAAAGAGAGUUAAAAAGUAUGUGAAAUUGUUGAAAGGGAAGCGCUGGCCACCAGACUGGUGCGUGACGGUUCCCCUGGCUUCGCUGGGCUAUUCCGUCACACACCGGCCAGCAUCGGUUCGGGUGGU